rnacentral:rRNA from 1 species
AUUGAACGCUGGCGGCAGGCCUAACACAUGCAAGUCGAACGAGUGGCGGACGGGUGAGUAAUGUCUGGGAAACUGCCUGAUGGAGGGGGAUAACUACUGGAAACGGUAGCUAAUACCGCAUACCAUCGGAUGUGCCCAGAUGGGAUGAGCUAGUAGGUGGGGUAAAGGCUAACCUAGGCGACGAUCCCGAGCUGGUCUGAGAGGAUGACCAGCCACACUGGAACUUGGACACGGUCCAGACUCCUACGGAAGGCAGCAGUGGGGAAUAUUGCACAAUGGUCGCAAGCCUGAUGCAGCCAUGCCGCGUGUAUGAAGAAGUCCUUCGGGUUGUAAAGUACUUUCAGCGUGGAGGCGUUACCCGCAGAAGAAGCACCGGCUAACUCCGUGCCAGCAGCCGCGGUAAUUC